rnacentral:rRNA from 1 species
UUAAUUGAAGAGUUUGAUCAUGGCUCAGAUUGAACGCUGGCGGCAGGCUUAACACAUGCAAGUCGAGCGGUAGCACAAGGGAGCUUGCUCCCUGGGUGACGAGCGGCGGACGGGUGAGUAAUGUCUGGGAAACUGCCUGAUGGAGGGGGAUAACUACUGGAAACGGUAGCUAAUACCGCAUAACGUCGCAAGACCAAAGAGGGGGACCUUCGGGCCUCUUGCCAUCAGAUGUGCCCAGAUGGGAUUAGCUAGUAGGUGGGGUAAUGGCUCACCUAGGCGACGAUCCCUAGCUGGUCUGAGAGGAUGACCAGCCACACUGGAACUGAGACACGGUCCAGACUCCUACGGGAGGCAGCAGUGGGGAAUAUUGCACAAUGGGCGCAAGCCUGAUGCAGCCAUGCCGCGUGUGUGAAGAAGGCCUUCGGGUUGUAAAGCACUUUCAGCGAGGAGGAAGGUGGUGA